rnacentral:tRNA from 5 species
UCGCGGGGUGGAGCAGUCUGGUAGCUCGUCGGGCUCAUAACCCGAAGGUCGUUGGUUCAAAUCCAGCCCCCGCAAU